GAUGAACGCUGGCGGCGUGCCUAAUACAUGCAAGUCGAGCGAACAGACGAGGAGCUUGCUCCUCUGACGUUAGCGGCGGACGGGUGAGUAACACGUGGAUAACCUACCUAUAAGACUGGGAUAACUUCGGGAAACCGGAGCUAAUACCGGAUAAUAUAUUGAACCGCAUGGUUCAAUAGUGAAGGACGGUUUUGCUGUCACUUAUAGAUGGAUCCGCGCCGCAUUGGCUAGUUGGUAAGGUAACGGCUUACCAAGGCAACGAUGCGUAGCCGACCUGAGAGGGUGAUCGGCCACACUGGAACUGAGACACGGUCCAGACUCCUACGGGAGGCAGCAGUAGGGAAUCUUCCGCAAUGGGCGAAAGCCUGACGGAGCAACGCCGCGUGAGUGAUGAAGGUCUUCGGAUCGUAAAACUCUGUUAUUAGGGAAGAACAAAUGUGUAAGUAACUAUGCACGUCUUGACGGUACCUAAUCAGAAAGCCACGGCUAACUACGUG
rnacentral:rRNA from 1 species